rnacentral:rRNA from 1 species
UACGUAGGGGGCGAGCGUUGUCCGGAGUUACUGGGCGUAAAGCGCACGCAGGCGGUCUGCUAAGUUUGGAGUGACAGUUGGUGGCUUAACUGCCAAAGUGCUUCGAAAACUGACAGACUUGAGGGCUUCAGAGGGACACGGAAUUCCGGGUGGAGUGGUGAAAUUCGUAGAUAUUCGGAAGAACACCAGUGGCGAAGGCGACUUACUGGACACAUAUUGACGCUGAGGUGCGAAAGCGUGGGGAGCAAACAGG